GAUGAACGCUGGCGGCGUGCCUAAUACAUGCAAGUCGAGCGAACGGACGAGAAGCUUGCUUUUCUGAUGUUAGCGGCGGACGGGUGAGUAACACGUGGAUAACCUACCUAUAAGACUGGGAUAACUUCGGGAAACCGGAGCUAAUACCGGAUAAUAUUUUGAACCGCAUGGUUCAAAAGUGAAAGACGGUCUUGCUGUCACCUAUAGAUGGAUCCGCGCUGCAUUAGCUAGUUGGUAAGGUAACGGCUUACCAAGGCAACGAUGCAUAGCCGACCUGAGAGGGUGAUCGGCCACACUGGAACUGAGACACGGUCCAGACUCCUACGGGAGGCAGCAGUAGGGAAUCUUCCGCAAUGGGCGAAAGCCUGACGGAGCAACGCCGCGUGAGUGAUGAAGGUCUUCGGAUCGUAAAACUCUGUUAUUAGGGAAGAACAUAUGUGUAAGUAACUGUGCACAUCUUGACGGUACCUAAUCAGAAAGCCACGGCUAACUACGUG
rnacentral:rRNA from 1 species